rnacentral:lncRNA from 1 species
CAGCAUUGCCAGAAGAGAAAUCUGUGGCGCAAAUACGGUGUCAUGUGACCAUUUGGCUUCAGUUGACUGGACCAGCUACUGUCAUCCAUGCCUGGAAAGUCAUCCACAGGCUGGCCAGAAGCCCAUGAAGUGACCUGGGAACGGGCAUUGCUGGACGGUGGCAACAAUCCAGUGGGGUCUUCUCUUCAUGGAAGUCUGAACUUGAAACAUAUAAGAAAUUGACACUGCCACUGGAGUUGUGCAGAGGCCAGAAAGAGGACAGGUGGUAGAUACUGUGGGUAAGGAAAAGCCAGGAGGUGAGCAGGAAACCAAGUCAGAAGUCAGAGGCACAGUCAACGAAGCAGUGCCACGAGGAUGGUGCCAAUGCCUGUGGUUGCCCAGCAACCACAUUUCAUCAAUCUGAAGAUGCACCUUUCCCCGCCCCCCGCCCCGCAUUUUGGCAUUUUGGAAUGUGUCUAACAACAGACGAUGUCUUAUUUGCUGCUUUUGGUCGGGCGGCAGCCCUGAGGUUGCUGGGACUGCCCGCAGGUAGGUGAACUCCUAGAGCGUUGUGAUCCCCACGGGCAGAGCAGGCGCUGGUGGCUUUGGGAACACCGC